ensembl:lncRNA
GGCAUGAGAACACAGGCAGUUCUUUUCCUUAUCAGGGAAUGUGUGUCACUUCUAUGCAUCUCUUCAUAGAGAUGACAGUCUUCAAAGAGUAAAAUAUUUACUUGUUUAUUAUUAUUGAGGAUUUCCUCAAUUAUUAUCAAGGAGUCAUAAGAAAAAUAUACAAAGAAGGGGUUGUCAUGAGAAAAACUCCAAUGAGAGUUCCUGCAAAUCUGACAAAAGAAAAUAUUUGACAGUGAAAGUGAUUAAUGGAGGUUGAAACAGAGGCUGGUUAAAUACAUUUCUUCUCAUUUCUCAAGAGAAUUAGUAAUGAGGCCAGUGACUUUCUCCAGUUCCUCAAAUAGUGAAAUUUUACCCAGUCAAUCAUUGACUUCUCUCCUAGUCAAAACAGAAUAGAAUGCAGCUAUUCAAAUUCUUGUUACAAGUGCUCCAUUAGGUCUUACAAGGCAAUCCAGAAAAGGAUAAUAUACCCCUGCCAUGCAUGUAACAGCAGAGUCAUGAGAGCAGAACUAAUGGGUGAACAAACGACCUCCUUUCACACAUUUGGAAAAUCUGCUUUAUGACACUUAGUGAAGUUUGAUACCACAUGAAGGAUACAGAGAUGAUACCUCUGCAUCCAUCUGAAUCCAUAUCAAUGUAUUAUGGGAAAAAAACAGUAGUCAGAAUGGGCCUGAAAACAUGGGCCUGAUAAGAAGGAAGUCAGAGAAAUGAGAACAGUGUAAACAAAAAAGCUAUGGUGGAUAAGGCAGGAAUUUAGAAGUGAGCUUUGCCUUCAACUCCUGAUUCUGUCACUCAGCAUCUGUGCAAGACUGAGCAAGUCACCUGGCCACUUUGAGCCUACUUUGUAUAAGCUGCAAAGCAGACAAUAACGCUAUCUCAAUAGGGUUACCUGAGGGUUAAAUGAGAUAACUUGCAUGAUGCUCUGAUUUGGAGAUGACAUAUACCACGCUCAGCUCCUCCUCAUAACACUCAUGUCAGGCAUAGCUUCUUCCCCCAUCUCUGACCCCUUCUACACUAAACUCCUGUCUUCAUGACUCAGUCUAGAGCUUCCUACUGUCCCUCAGAUCACUCUCUCAAGUCAUCCUACCUUGGGAUAUUUGCAUUCUCUUCUGCCUCGGAUCCUCCUACCCAGAUCUUUAGGUUUCUUGCUCCCUCACUUCAAGUAAGCUUCAAUUUAAACUUGAUCUCUUUAGAGGCAACUUGCCUGAUGCUUUGCUGAAAACACCUCACUGAUUACUGUCUGAAAUUGCAUCCUGUAUUAAUCUGUUUUCUCAUUGUCCUCUCUCCAUAGAAUGUGGGUAUUUGUCGAUCUUGUUCAUCACUGUAUCCCCAAACCCUUAGAACAGUGUCUGAUGUAUCUUGGGUACUGGGUAAAUAUUUACUGAAUGUUAUUAUUAGUAAUGAAUGAAUAAAAUGAAUAAAAGCAUUUUGAAAAAAGCACUAUAAAAUUUGCCAAGCACUUGCUAAGUCCUAGGUGGAGAGAGAUUCUAAACCAGUAUGAAAAAACAGUUUGCCCUAGAUGGGUAAAGAAAACAAAAGUGGAAGAAAUCUUCAUAUGCUGUUUCUGUUUUGUUUUCUGAUUGGAAGUUAAUCUUCUAGAGUGUAACUACAGGAGGAGUACAGAAAAGCCAUAAAACAGGCAGAGGAGCCUCUGAGAGCUUCAGCAUGGAACGGGUGAGAAGGCCCUGGAGGAGGCCCCACAAGCUGGUGAUCAAGCUGUCCACAGCACUGCUGGAGGUCCUCAUGACAGAUCCCACUGAAGCCACACGUGCCACAUCUCUGCUGACUGCCUGGUGAUGGCACAUCCGUGGGUGACAGGAUGGGAUGUGAGCCUUUCACGCCUUCUGUUUUCCUCAUGCCUCCAGCUGGGCUCUUUGGGAGGGGGUGUGUGUGUGUGUGUGUGUGUUUCUUUUCCUUGGCUCACAAGUCACAUCAGUCCGCUCUUGGUACUUGGCAACCCAGCACGCUUCCUCCCACUAACGACAAGCCCGUCUGCAAAACAGAACAACAUCUUUGAGAUGGGGUGUUUAUCUGGGCAGCACACAGCCUCUGCAGCCCACAGGGGCCCCUCCUUCAAAGGCAUUGCUGAAUGGGACUCACCUGAUGAAAGCCCGAACUGUGUAUGCUUGACUUGAUUUACGGGCAACAGCCAGCUCAUUAGGCGCACUGGCCUGAGGAAGCCAGUCGGCUGUGGGGACAAAUGUUUGUGCAGCUCUGUGGUGCCCACAGGGAUGUUUGCUUGGGGGCUGGAGCACAAAGGGGGCAGUGAUAAGGGGCCCUGGAAUCCAUGCCUGGCUCAGGGAGCGCAAACUGCCCAGGAGAUUGAUAUCUAGGGUGCAAAGGCUAAAAAAAUUAGAUUAAUUUAGCUCAGCUGUACUUGCUGAAGGAUUGGGUUGCAGCUGGUGCUGAAACAUUAGUGAUCAACCCUCAGAGAUCAGGGGUCAAGUCUCAAGUUGGAAGGAAGGGGGUAAGAUGGAUUGCCUCUCAGUAUGCCUGCUCCCCAGGAAAAGGAUAGCCUACAAAGGCAGCCCGGCAUUACAGAUAGUCCUGUGGAACACCACUGAGAAAGUAAUAUAUCAGAGAAGGCAAUGGUACCCCACUGCAGUACUCUUGCCUGGAAACUCCCAUGGAUGGAGGAACCUGGUAGGCUGCAGUCCAUGGGGUCGCUAAGGAUUGGACACGGCUGAAGUGACUUAGCAGCAGUAGCAGCAGAAUCCCAAAAUCCCACUGGACCAAAAUAAUAUUAAAGAUAGCCAAGGACAACAUCUCUGAAUGGGAGGCAAGAAUCCUCAGAAAGGUACACCGUGAUGAUUCUCUUUCAUUCCUGCACCUCAUCAUGAGUAAUGAAGAGUGAAGCUCCAUGUAGGAACUGAACAUGACUUGGACUCAUCUGCACAACUUCCUAAGCUGCUAAGCUAGAAGGCUCUGAGUCCAGUACAAACACCUUGUCCUUAUGUACUCCAGCCCCCAUUGCCGGAGGUGAUGAUUGUUGUGCUGUGUUUAAAUUAAAGGAAGGAAACCUUAAGCCAAAUAAAUUGAAAAUAAAUAUUAUUUUUCUCUAAGACUCACCAGUGUGAAAAAUCUCCUUUCAAGGAACAAACUUUGUUAUUAGUUCUUAAUGUGCCAAAAAGUCAGCAAUGAUUGCCCCUACUUUAUACCUCCUCUAAAAGAAAUAAGUGGAUGCCUUGUCUCAUAUUGUAAGCGCAGCAUUAUUUAGGUUUAUUUUAAACUUCCAGCAUUCUAGGGUUCAAAGAUAUGUUUCCUGCUCAAAAAUAGAUUUGGUUUUGUAAAUCUUUUUGACAGCUUUGUUUGUCUAAAUAAAAGUUUUAGAAAUCUUAAUUUGAUAAUUCAAUCCUUUAUGGUGUUUCCCUAGAAAUAUAUCUCAAGGCCUAAAAGGCAUUUUAAAAUGACUGAAAUGAUGACUAUGGCCAUUAGGUCCAGAAACACAUAAGUAUCAAAACACCAUGUGCAGCUGUCUCUGGUUUUCCUGAGUGAGCUCAGAAAAUGUAGAGGAAGAAAAUAACUGAAUGAAAGGACAUAAGUCACCCAGAGUUGAUGUAGUUCUUUAUUUUUUUUGAAGUAUUUGGGAGAAGAGAAUGGACAAACCAAAAGUAGGCUGGCAAUGGAAUACUUUCCAUGGAAGAGAUAUUCUUUCUCUCUUUUUAUUUAGUGAGGCUUUCUUCCUUAUUAUCAUUUUUUCUUAGCACUUAAAGUUGGAUACUAGAAGAUUCCCUGGAGAAGGAAAUGCAACCCACUCCAGUGUUCUUGCCUGGAGAAUCCCAUGAACAGAAGAGCCUGGCGGGCUACCAUCCAUGGGGCUGCCAAAGAGUUGGACACAACUGAGCAACUAAACAAUAGCAGCAACAACUAGCUUUCUGUUGUAAUUACUUUGACUAUCAUGUGAGGGAAGUAACCUUAGCUAGCCACCUCUCCAGAUGUAUCUUAUAGAUUUCAUAAACAUUUCUUUAAAAAGUACUAUAGGAAGAUUAUUCCCUAACCACAAACCUGUCCAGCUUGCAUGCUUAGGACUAUCUGAGGCAUUCAUCAUGGUGUUCUCCAUCUCGCUGUCUGUUAGCACCUUGGGAGACAGAGGUCAAAAUGUUUCCUUAGGGAGGUUUGUCACCUCAAAUCAUCAGAAAUCUAUGAAUUUCCUCUUUUCCAGACAUACUACUAAAUUUCUCCAUAUGUCCUAAUCGUUCCAGUUCUUUUUCCUUCCAGGUGACUUUAGAAAGUCAGGAAUUUGUUAACUUUGAAAGUUCUUUGAGAGUGGAGAUUAUGAGACAGGUUCAGUUCAGUUCAGUUGUUCAGUCGUGUCUGACUCUUUGUGACCCCAUGAAUCGCAGCACGCCAGGCCUCCCUGUCCAUCACCAACUCCUGGAGUUCACUCAGACUCACGUCCAUCGAGUCAGUGAUGCCAUCCAGCCAUCUCAUCCUCUAUUGUCCCCUUCUCCUCCUGCCCCUAAUCCCUCCCAGCACCAGGGUCUUUUCCAAUGAGUCAACUCUUCGCAUCAGGUGGCCAAAGUAUUGGAGUUUCAGCUUUAGCAUCAAUCCUUCCAAUGAACACCCAGGACUGAUCAGGAUCCUUUAGGAUGGACUAGUUGGAUCUUCUCGCAGUCCAAGGGACAGGUACUUCUGCUUUAUUUGAGAAAAGGGUAGUUUCUAUGUUUUUGUUUAGUAUACCCCAUUCCUGACAGUAAAAGUUACAUCUUGUAUUUGUACAUUAAAAAAGGAAGAAACCUCUCACCACCCCAAACGACUACAUGUCAUCAGGACUGUGUGUGUGUGUGUGUGCAUGCGCACACACGCAUGUACAUAUGUAUUCAAAGACAUCCUGAAAAUGAUUUUUCAAAAUUUAUUUAUUUAUUUUUAUUUUUGGCUGUGCUGAGUCUCCAUUGAUGCUUUCAGUCUCUCUAGCUGUGAUGAGCCAGGGCUUCUCUCUAGUUGCAGUGUGCGGACUUCUCAUUGCUGUGGCUUCUCUUGUCGCAUAGCACAGGCUCUAGAGCACACAGGCUUCUGUAGUUGUGGCACUUGGUCUCAGUAGUGUGGCUCUCAGGCUGUAGAGCACAGGCUUAGUAGUUGUGGACGUGGGCUUAGUAGCUUGCCCUGCAGCAUGUGGAAUCUUCCCAGACCAAGGAUCAAACCUGUGUCCACUGUAUUGGCAGGCAGACUCUUUAACUACUGGCACACCAGGGAAGUCUUAAAAAUAUAACUUUUGAAUCCACAUAUUGUGCCAAUAUAUGAUCAUUGUACACAUCAUUAAAAACAGUCUCUAUGAGUGCUAUUUAGUAUCCCCAUAAAAUUCCAUUGUAUAUUUCUCCUACUAGAUUGAGCUGAAUGAAAUUGAUGGCCUUUAAUCUUUUAAACCUACAAAAAUGGUAGUUUUACAUGGUUCAACCUAGUAAAAUUUGUUUCCCAAUCAUUGGACAUCAUGUCUAGCUUUUAAAAUGUUAAAUAAUUGACCUAUGACUAUUUUGAACAUGUUUAUAUCAUACUUAUUCAUAUAUUUAAUGUUUUCCUCAGGAUAAUUUCUAAGAAAAUAAUUGAUUCAGAAAGUAUGAAAACCAUGGAAGCUCUCAAUACCUAUUUUAAAAUUCCAUGCAAAGAGAUUAUAGCAAUUUAUGUUCUUCUUGAUUAUAUACAAGAAUGCAAGUUUUACCUUAUCCUUACAAAAAUUGAGAAUUAUAACACUUUUAUCUUUGCUAAUCCUAUAGGUAUAAUAUUAUAUUCCAUAUUAUUUAACCAGUAUGACUGUAAUUGGCAUAAUUCAUAUUUGUUCCAAUUUUACUUCUAGAUGAAAAAAUUAAAUUUAUAAAUGUGUGAAAUUAGUUAAGAGGCAGAGCCUAAAAUAUAAAAUAGAAUUGGAUUUAAUGUUGUGAUAUUGAAUUACUUCAUUACCCCAGAUCAAGGAUAACAGUGUCUUUGGUAAAAUACAGAAAACAAUAGAGGUGACAAUUUCAUUUAUACUCUCUUUGAUUUAAUAUGAGGAGGACGUGCAAUUUCUCAUUGUAAUUUAUUUUUAUACAAAAAUAUAUGUGUGGAUUUUCUAUAUUUCUUCUGCAAAUGACACUUUUAUUUUAGUGUUGUUUUGUUACCAAGCCUCAUUUAAAAUGUGUUCUUUUCCUGUACUUCAAAGUUGUUUUAAUUAAUAGUCAAAUAAUAUUUGAGCAUAGUGCAUUUGUGGAAUGAGUUGGUUGAAAAGACAAACGAACUUGAUAAAUGCUCUAGUCCAAUUGAUUAAGAAAAAAAAUGAUAGAAGACCUAGAUUACUAGCAUCAGGUAUUAAAAUAAGAGGAGUCACCAUGGAUUUUAAAGAUAUUGAAAGGAUAAUAGACUAUUAUGCAGUAGUUUAUGCCAAUACAUUUGACAACUUUGAUGAAAUGGAUAAAAAUCUUAGCACAAACUAUAAAAUGUUUUUAUUGAAUUAUAGUUGGUUUAUAAUGUUCUGUUAAUUACUGUUGUAUAGCAAACUGGUUCAAUUAUAUAUACGUUCUUUUUAAAAUAUUAUUUUCCGUUAUGAUUUAUCAUAGGAUAUUGAAUAUAAUUCUCUGUGCUAUAC